UCUGAGGGAAGGAAGGACGGAAGCCCCUCUCCCCCCCCCCCUUCCGUUCCCGCUUUGCCCCCGGCCCUUUUCCCCUCCUCCCCCUUCGCCUCCUUCGUCUUCCCUCGGCCACAGGCCUUUCUGCCUCGCUACCUCGCUCGCCCUGAAUGGCUUUCUUUGCCCCUCCUAUUCCAACUCACUCCCAUAGCACCCAAAACCCCCCUCUGGCCCUGGAAGCUAAGCAGGGUCAGCCCUGGUUAAGACUUGGAUUAACCAGGUUCUGUAAGCUAUAUUUCAGAGCGAAGGAAUUGGCAGAAUUUCCUUGUUUAAGGAAACCUUAGAUAUGCAGAUGAUACCACUCUGAUGGCCGACAGCAAGGAGGACCUGAGGAGCCUUAUCACCAAGGUGAAAGAAAAAAGUGCAAAAGCUGGGUUGCAGGUAAACAUCAAGAAAACCAGGAGUAUGGCAACCAGAAUGAUUGAUAAUUGGCAAAUAGAGGGAGAAAACGUGGAGGCAGUGACAGGCUUUGUAUGUCUAGGCACAAAGAUUACUGCAGCCAGGAAAUCAGAAGAUGUUUACUUCUUGGGAGAAGAGCAAUGACCAAUCUCAACAAAAUAGUAAAGAGUUACACUGGCAACGAAGGUCCGCAUAGUUAAAGCAAUGGUAUUCCCCAUAGUAACCUAUGGAGGCGAGAGCUGGAUCAUAAGGAAGGCUGAGCGAAGGAAGAUAGACGCUUUUGAACUGUGGUGUUGGAGGAAAAUCCUGAGAGUGCCUUGGACCACAAGAAGAUCCAACCAGUCCUUCCUCCAGGAAAUAAUGCCCGGCUGCUCACUGGAGGGAAGGAUAUUAGAGGCAAAACUGAAGUACUUUGGCCAUAUAAUAAGAAGAUUGGAGAAGAUAAUGAAGCUGGAGAAAAAGGAAGAGGGGCUGACUGUAACAGAUUAGCCUACCCUGUAGGGAUGGCGUGUAGGGGCAGCCAUUUUUUAAAUUUUAAUAUAAGCCUUGAUUGGUCUCCAUAUGCAUAACCCAAUUUUAUUUGGCCAUGACAACUAUUUAAAGAUUAAUUACAAGGUUUAAAGAAACAGAAUAUUAUUUUUAUUUGUGUAGUAUAGUUUCUUUCUGCUUUAUGGUUGACACUAAUGAUUGGAAUGCCGCCAGCUAUUGAAUUCUAAACUGCUCAUCAGCAACCAGGAAUGAGAACAGGAUGUAUGCAUCUUAUUGAAGGCAAAUUCAAGUGUGAGCAACUAGGCCAGAGGAAACAAAUUUCCCCUCUUCUUCACAAUAGAAACUACUGAAUGAAGCGAGUGAUGAUGCAGGAAGAGAGGAUCUUGGAAAAUCUGUGGGGCAUUUUCUGGGAUCAGAGUUCUACUGCUCCUGGACAUCAGAUUCUCAGUCUAUUCAAGUUAAGAACUCCUGAUGUACACAGACUUACGUAACUCUUUCUCUACCAAAAGAAAACUCUGCUCCAAUUGUCAACUUAUGUGAUGAGUCAUGGGCCAUGUAGUCCCGUCUCUGGUACUGUAGUACCAGAUGAAGAGGAGAACUUGGGUUUUUCACCGUCUCAGUCAGAAUUGGAACCUUCCCAGCCAGAUUUGGGAACCUUGCACCUGCAAGAGAUUUGUCUUCCAGAAGUCUGUCAAACAAGCCCUGAGCCUAAAUCUCCUGUGUUUUCUCGCCACGAGUUUUGUAAACAACAGAGGGGAGUUCAAGCAGCGUCUCGCAGGAGUGCUAGGAUAGCUGCUAAGAAUUCAGCUGAUUAAGCCUGUUUUCCAUGGGAAACUUUAAGGAGUCAUGCAUCUGGACUCAGAGUUUAGCUUUCGUUUCUGGUUCCCCAGAGAACUGCUCUUUGGUGGGAAAACUAGACCCUAUUUAGGUGUUUUGCCCACAAAGGGACCUUGCGGAGUCAAUUCGUCAGCUACUGGAGUAAGUUGUGUGUGGACAGCGCGCUCCGUUUCCAAGCCUCGUUCCUGUUUCAAGCCUUGUUCCUGAUUCCAAGCCUUCGCUCCCGUUUCCAAGCCUUCGUUCCCGUUUCCAGCCUUGUUUACCUCCACGGACCUUGCCUUGUUUUCCAGGACUCAGCCUUGCCUUGUUUUCCGGAUUUUGCCAAGUAAUUCCACGGAUCUUGUUCUUGCUCCUCGUUCCUUGUUGCCUUGUAUCAAGCCUUGUUUCAAGUUACUCCCUAGCCUCGCUCAAGUUUCAUGGACUAAAGGACAUUGUCAUCUCCCCUCACUUUGCCUGGCAAAGUGAGUGUUUCGGUUAUUGGAUUACAACUUUGGACCUUAAUAUUUCAUAUUGGACAUUGUUUCUUUGGACUAAUUUUGACCUUUCCUGAAAGGUCUACUUCUGGACUAUUUCAUACACUUGCUUUUAUUAACUUUAUAUAUUUCCUUAAUAAAGAUAUUAGAUAGAUUCUGGCCUCUGUGUAUGGUUAUUGGUGCUCUGCAGCCUGGGUCGUGACAACUUACCUAGGGGUACGAACAUUUUUGGCCUGUAUAUUUUUAAAGCCAUAGAUGCAAACCUAGCCAACUCAAAGUUAACAAUGCCUGAGGUUGCUUGCUUAUUUAUUUAUUGAAAUGAGUACAAACACACUUAAGUCUGCGUUGAUCACGGUUACUGUGAUGUGGCAGCACAGAUCAACCACAGAAAGUUAGUUUACGUGCGGUAAAUGCUUACAGUAUAAUAAACAUGAAUUCACAGAAUCAUAGAAUAGUAGAGUUGGAAGAGAGCUCACGGGCCAUCCAUUCCAACCCCCUGCCAAGAAGCAGGAAAUCGCAUUCAAAGCACCCCCAACAGAUGGCCAUCCAGCCUCUGCUUAAAAGCCACCAAAGAAGGAGCCUCAUAUUUUCAGAAAUGAAAGCAUAAUUUUGACAAAGAUUUAAGUUUGCUCAUGACUAGGGUUCAAGGGAGCUCUCUUAUCUCAUUAGAUACAGGAUAAUAAUGCAUUAAGUUUAUCAAUUAUUAAGUUUGCACCCUUUGCUAAAUAUAGGACACCUGUAUGAUUCAUGGCAAGUAUUCCACUUAUUCAUCAUUAGGCAACUGGCUAAAACACCCAGUGCUACUUAUCUGCUUAAGAGCAAUAAUAAUCCCAGAGUGUUUAUUGCAAAGAGUGGAGCCAGGAUUGCGCAAUGUGUGCACUAUAUUCCCUCUUGUAACACGACAUGGUGAUGAGCUGGCAGAAAGGGAACAGAGGUGAUGAAACGUACAUAUAAAGAGGGAAAUAUGAUGAUGAUUCAUAACAAAUGUAUCAGGUUUAGCAAUCCUUUUGCUAUGUGUGCCUUAACAUAAGGCAGACUGUAUGUAUUAUUUUUUUUAAAAAUCUGUGCUUUCUGGCUGAUACUAUGACACAAAUUAAGAAACUAUAUAAAGUAUGAUCUCAAUAUCUGUGGGACUGGUAUCCAGAGUUCUGUCUAUCCACAACCAACAAAUAUGUCUAUAUAGGCAUCUUCUUUAUCUUCCAGUCUAUGGUAUUUUUCAGCCAGACGUCCUUCAUUUCAUUAGGGUUUGCUAUUUUCUGAGUUUUUGUGUAUCUUUGUAAGAUUCAGGAGUGUAUUCCCCAAAUAUACAGAGGUCAUACUGUAUUACCAUUACUAUCAACAUCUGGAAACCUUUAGCAAAAGAAAAUCAUUUAUAUUCCACAACAUUUUAGAAGUAAUAAGAAUCAUAGAGUUGGAAGAGCCCUCGUGGGGCAUCCAGUCCAACCCUAUGCCAAGAAGCAGGAAAAUCGCAUUCAAAGCACCUCGACAGAUGGCCAUCCAGACUCUGCUUAAAGGUCUCCAAAGAAGGAGCCUCCACCACACUCCGGGGCAGAGAGUUCCCCUGCUGAACAGCUCUUACAGUCAAGAAGUUCUUCCUAAUGUUCAGGUGGAAUCUCCUUUCCUGUAAUUGAACCCAUUGCACCGAGUCCUAGUCUACAGGGCAGCAGAAAACAAGUCUGCUCCCUCUUCCUUAUAACAGCCUUUCAAAUAUUUCAACUAUAUUCCUUUUGAUGCAGCUCAAAAUCCCAGUUUUUUUUAGCUGCUGCAUCACAAUUUUGCUCAUGUUCGAUUUGUGAUCUAUUAAGACUCCAGAUCUUUUCCACAUGUUGUCAAGCCAGAUGUCACUCAUCUUGUAUCUGUGCAUUUCAUUUUUUCUGCCUAAGUGUAGUAUCCCACAUAUCUCCUGGUUGAAAUUGAUUUUGUUAGUUUUGGCCCAGCCAUCCUUCCUCCUACCAAGUUACAAAGGCUCCACAUUCAAUAGACAAUGUUUGUUAGCUUUAUCAUUGUCAGGCUAUGAAUCUUUUCAAAGCAGAUUAAUUACUAAAGGUCUAGGAACAAUGCCUUAAAAUAUGGCUUAAAUGACAACUUCAGAAAAAUACAUUCUUCUCUGAAGUUAAGGGUUUUUUGUAAGCACUCAUUCUCUGUUCUGAUAUUAUCUAUAGCAGUUACAGGAAGCCCAGUCUUCAAAUAAAUGAUUACCCCAGAGAUAGAAAUCAUGCAGGAUUUCAGAUGUUGAACUGCAGAUCUCAGCAUUCUUGGCCAACACAGGGAGCAUCUACACAGGAGAAUUAAUGUAGUUUGACACCAGUUCUCUACAAAAAAACUUUUUGCUGUAAUGGCUAUAUUGGUGAUGGAGUAUGCUUAGCUUUUGAAGCAGACUUUGUUAAACAAACAUAUUAAUUGAUGCUUAAUUUGUAAACCACACCACUUACUUUGUAUCAUACUGUGCUCUUAAUAACUGAUCUGAAAUUAUUCCCACAUAAAUGUUCAUUGUUGUUUCACAUAACGGAUUCGCUGGUCUGAGUUAACAGUAAGACACUUUAACAAAGUGCCUAACGUCACCCUCAGACAUGUUUUUUCUUUAAAAAGCAUGCAAAAAUUGCCUCACAUAGCAUCUUAUGUGUAUUCACACCCAGAGUCCAGAAAGUAGCGUUCCAGUAAGCCUCCAACCAAAAAACUGUUUACAGCAGUAGGGCUUACCAAAAAAAUAUGAAAUAUGUUAAACCUAUGUAACACCCAAGAAAAGUGGGGUAGCUCAGGACAGAUUCAGUGUCCAGACACCUCUGUCACAAUAUCUCAAACAAAUGUGGAAGGAACACAGGCCCAUGUGUGUACACAAGCUAACUUGGGGUGCCACCAGCUCAACACUGCUUAUCUCAGUCUCUCCCCCCCCUUUCCCCCUUUUUACUAAAAACAGCAACAAUUAAUAAACACAGCCACUGAUUUGCCAAGA